rnacentral:rRNA from 1 species
UACGUAGGCAGCAAGCGUUGUUCGGAGUUACUGGGCGUAAAGGGUGUGUAGGCGGUUAUUUAAGUUUGGUGUGAAAUCUCCCGGCUCAACCGGGAGGGUGCGCCGAAUACUGAAUGACUUGGAGUGCGGGAGAGGAAAGUGGAAUUCCUGGUGUAGCGGUGAAAUGCGUAGAUAUCGAGAGGAACACCUGCGGCGAAGGCGGGUUGCUGGGCCGACACUGACGCUGAGGCGCGAAAGCCAGGGGAGCGAACGGG